GGUCCCGUAGCUCAGCUGGAUAGAGCAGCAGCCUUCUAAGCUGAAGGUCACAGGUUCGAGUCCUGUCGGGAUCG
rfam:Devosia riboflavina strain IFO13584 contig6, whole genome shotgun sequence.